rnacentral:rRNA from 1 species
UGGGGAAUUUUGGACAAUGGGCGCAAGCCUGAUCCAGCCAUGCCGCGUGCGGGAAGAAGGCCUUCGGGUUGUAAACCGCUUUUGUCAGGGAAGAAAUCUUCUGAGUUAAUACCUCGGGAGGAUGACGGUACCUGAAGAAUAAGCACCGGCUAACUACGUGCCAGCAGCCGCGGUAAUACGUAGGGUGCAAGCGUUAAUCGGAAUUACUGGGCGUAAAGCGUGCGCAGGCGGUUUUGUAAGACAGAGGUGAAAUCCCCGGGCUCAACCUGGGAACUGCCUUUGUGACUGCAAGGCUUGAGUGCGGCAGAGGGGGGAUGGAAUUCCGCGUGUAGCAGUGAAAUGCGUAGAUAUGCGGAGGAACACCGAUGGCGAAGGCAAUCCCCUGGGCCUGCACUGACGCUCAUGCACGAAAGCGUGGGGAGCAAACAGAUUAGAUACCCUGGUAGUCCACGCCCUAAACGAUGUCAACUGGUUGUUGGGAAGGUUCCUUCUCAGUAACGUAGCUAACGCGUGAAGUUGACCGCCUGGGGAGUACGGCCGCAAGGUUGAAACUCAAAUGAAUUGACGGGGUCAUAGCUGUUU